GACCAGUGGCAUAGUGGUCUGAGUGUUGGACUACAACUCUGGAGCCCAGGGUUUGAUUCCCUGGUUGGUCA